GGUCUCAGUUCGGAUCGCAGUCUGCAACUCGACUGCGUGAAGGUGGAGUCGCUAGUAAUCGCGGAUCAGCAACGCCGCGGUGAAUACGUUCCCGGGCCUUGUACACACCGCCCGUCACACCAUGGGAGCCGGUAAUACCCGAAGCCAGUAGUCUAACCGCAAGGGGGACGCUGUCGAAGGUAGGAUUGGCGACUGGGGUGAAGUCGUAACAAGGUAUC
rnacentral:rRNA from 1 species